rnacentral:rRNA from 1 species
UGCUUAGAUAUGACACAGAACACCGAUCGCGAAGGCAGCUAGCUAAGCUAUAACUGACGCUCAUGCACGAAAGCGUGGGGAUCAAACAGGAUUAGAUACCCUGGUAGUCCACGCUGUAAACGAUGAUUACUCGAUGUUGGCGAUACACAGUCAGCGUCUAAGGGAAACCAAUAAGUAAUCCACCUGGGGAGUACGAUCGCAAGAUUGAAACUCAAAGGAAUUGACGGGGGCCCGCACAAGCGGAGGAGCAUGUGGUUUAAUUCGAUGAUACGCGAGGAACCUUACCUGGGCUAGAACGUAGAGAGACUAUAGGAGAAAUCUUAUAUCCCUUCGGGGCUGUCUACGAGGUGCUGCAUGGUUGUCGUCAGCUCGUGCCGUGAGGUGUCGGGUUAAGUCCCAUAACGAGCGCAACCCCUAUCUUUAGUUGCCAACAGGUCAAGCUGGGGACUCUAAAGAAACUGCCUACGCAAGUAGUGAGGAAGGCGGGGAUGACGUCAAAUCAGCACGGCCCUUACGUCCAGGGCUACACACGUGCUACAAUGGCCGAUACAGAGGGCAGCUACCUGGUGACAGGA